rnacentral:rRNA from 1 species
CCUGACUGCUAUCGGAUUGAUACUAAGCCAUGCGAGUCUCUGCAGUAAUGCAAGGCAUACGGCUCAGUAACACGUAGUCAACUUACCCUAUGGACGAGGAUAAUCUCGGGAAACUGAGCAUAAUACUCGAUAGAUCAUAAUGCCUGGAAUGGUUUAUGGUUAAAAUGAUUCGUCGCCAUAGGAUGGGACUGCGGCCUAUCAGCUUGUUGGUGAGGUAAUGGCCCACCAAGGCGAUUACAGGUACGGGCUCUGAGAGGAGAAGCCCGGAGAUGGGUACUGAGACAAGGACCCAGGCCCUAUGGGGCGCAGCAGGCGAGAAAACUUUGCAAUGUGCGAAAGCACGACAAGGUUAGUCCGAGUGAUUUCUGCUAAAGAAAUCUUUUGCAAGUUAUAAAACCACUAGUGAAUAAGGGGUGGGCAAGUUCUGGUGUCAGCCGCCGCGGUAAAACCAGCACCUCAAGUGGUCAGGAGGAUUAUUGGGCCUAAAGCAUCCGUAGCCGGCUCUGUAAGUUUUCGGUUAAAUCCAUGUGCUCAACGCAUGGGCUGCCGAAAAUACUGCAUAGCUAGGGAGUGGGAGAGGUAGACGGUACUCGGUAGGAAGGGGUAAAAUCCUUUGAUCUAUUGAUGACCACCUGUGGCGAAGGCGGUCUACCAGAACACGUUCGACGGUGAGGGAUGAAAGCUGGGGGAGCAAACCGGAUUAGAUACCCGGGUAGUCCCAGCUGUAAACGAUGCAGACUAGAUGAUGCAUUGGCAUAUAGCCAGUGCAGUGUCUCAGGGAAGCCGUUAAGUCUGCCGCCUGGGAAGUACGUACGCAAGUAUGAAACUUAAAGGAAUUGGCGGGGGAGCACCACAAGGGGUGAAGCCUGCGGUUC